rnacentral:rRNA from 1 species
UACGUAGGGUGCAAGCGUUGUCCGGAAUUAUUGGGCGUAAAGAGCUCGUAGGCGGUCUGUCGCGUCGGAUGUGAAACCUCGGGGCUCAACCCCCGAGCCUGCAUUCGAUACGGGCAGACUAGAGUUCGGUAGGGGAGACUGGAAUUCCUGGUGUAGCGGUGAAAUGCGCAGAUAUCAGGAGGAACACCGGUGGCGAAGGCGGGUCUCUGGGCCGAUACUGACGCUGAGGAGCGAAAGCAUGGGGAGCGAACAGG